UUCCCUCCUGGGAAGCUCCUUUCCCAACAGCCUCCAGCCUUGGGACGGGAUCUGUGCAUUGUGCUGAGCUGGUAGGGCAGGGCCAGGCAGCUGCCAAGUGGGACAGUGUGUUCCUCCCUACACCAGGCAGAUUUCUGGCUGAGAACUGGUGCAGCUGAUCCACUGUGCUCCAGUGGCACAGAAAGACAGUCAGAAGGAACCUCUGGUGGGCUUUUCCUUCCUGAGAAUCCAUCCUCUCCACUUUCCAGUUCUUCCUGCUCCACAUUGUCCAUACCCACUGUGUGAACUUCCCAUGGAUGUUUGUUCUGUAACCUGCCAUGUCUGCUCUCCCACAGGUGUGUCUGUGCAGGCUCAGGGCACAGCAGAGCCCGUUCCAAAUGCUGCUCCCUUUAGCCAGUUCUUGGCUGAGUUCACAACUCCAGAAGUAAAGCCCAGGAAGGGCUGGAGCAAAGACACUUCAGUCACUGAUGUUUUCUGGUCAGGGCAGUUCAGCUCUUUGUGUUCUCCUGAUUCUCACUGACUCUGAGAAGGGUCCAGGAAAACAAUUCUCUCCCAGUCCAGGCACCAACAUAAACUGGGAGGCUGCAGCUGGGAGCAGAAAACCCAGACCCAGCAGUGGGACCCAGCAGAGCUGCAGGGUCACUGGUUCCCACUGCAGCCACGCCAUGUCCAGGAGCAGCACAGCAUGAGCCACAGCCUGGCUGCUUCCCACCCCUGCUCCUGGCAGGAGCCUGGUGGUGUCUGAGCAUCUGCCCAGGCUUGUUCCACCCUGUGCUUCCCUGCUGGCAAAGGGAAGGAUAGGAGAGAGCUUGAAUCUAUCAGCCUCUGGAGAGAGAACCCCUCGUGCAGGCUCAGGCAGGAGGGCAGCAGCUCUGCUGCUCAGAGUGGCCUCUGGGCAGACACAGACAUUUCCAGUCUCUCUGUGACUCCUAAGGGUCUCCCUUUUACUCCUGGAGAGAUGCAGCCUUGAGUUACACUGCAUGGAGAGCACUCACUUUUGACAGGUUUGGGUUAAGUGGAGGCUUGAAGCUCUUACACCGACUAAACUGCACAGACCAGAGUGACCAGGGUAAUUUCAGGGCAACAGUCACUGGAACACUUGUGCUUUUUCCCUUCUGGUUCUAAAUGUUCAAAUUCUCACAAAAAUAUGAGACAAACUCUCAGUGGAAUGACUAUGCUGCUGAAAACAUUUGGAAUUUCCUAUUUCAUCUGGUUCUUUCUCUUUUUUUUAAUUAUUUUGAGGGCUUUUUACAUGAGAACAGAUUUACAUUCCUCUCUCCCUGCUGCUCACUUCCCACCUGAAAUCUUCAGCUGCUCUUUGCAGUUCCCAACACAAUGGUGAGCGAAAUCCUGAACGGAGCAUUCAAACUUGAGGUGAGGAAAAGCAACAGCAGCAGAUGGGCUUGUAAACAGCAGAGACCUGGCUCAGGCACAGAGGUCCUGGCGGAGCGGGAAGGAGCAGGAGGGUUGGUAAACACUGAGCAAUUUCCAUUUUCUGGGCUGAAAUGUGGGGAUCUGGGGAGGGGAGGGCGGUGUAGGAACAGCAGCUCUCCCUUUCUGGCACAGUCAGUUCUUCCCAGCAGAAGCUGUUCCUGUCAGAACUUGCAGCAAAUGGGAGAAGAUGGGAAAGUGGGGGACAUUUUCCAGCAUCAGGGAAUUUGUGGGUGAUGAAAACAAGAUUUCCAGCAGUCCUUUUGCACUAGUCUUGGUUUCUAAAGAGGUAUUCUGCUGUUUUCCUGCCAUUCUUCCCUUCCCUUGAAUUCCUUCUGAAACUCAGCAGAGUUGGGAAUAACUUCACUGAUACGAAAUUCCCAAAAGUUACCUGAAAGUGUGCAGCUGGACAGAGGAAAAAGAAACCCAGAGCAGAGUCCCCACGAGUGGAAGAAAAAAGCAGAAUAAGGAGGCUCAGUUCUGUAGUUUAUUGAGCCCAGAGGGAUUUCUACAAACCACAUGGCAUCAGGUGUCAAAUGAGGAAUGAAAACCAACGUGGAACAAUGGAGCAGCCUAAAACUCCCACAGCCCAGCGAGCUCCAGAAAUGUUGGAGAGGCUUAAAUGGCCCCUUAAUGGCCUGGUCAAAGUCCUGAGUCAUGUCAUGGGUGUUCUUUCCUUGGACAGGGAGACUCUGCACGUCCUGUGGAGUCCAGGAGUCACAGAAAACAGAGACUGAUGAAAGAUGGUUCCGGGCUGGGAUUUUGGAGAGGUUUGUGCUUGAUCUAGGGUUAAAGGGUUGUUGUUUCUGUUUUUCUUGGGGAUUGGGAGGGGAGAGGUUACUGAGUCCCUGAACCUUAAUGUAAAAUGACUAGAAUCUGGAACAGAUUCCAAAACAGACAUUUAGGGACUACUAAAUGUACAAAGCAGCUUGGAUAUCUAUCACCAGAGUUCAUCCAGUCCUGGAAAAAGCCUCUGAAAUGGGCAGUGCUUUAACAAAGUACAGAUGUCUGGGGACUCAAAAUACAAGGAAGAAUUAUGAGGAGGAAGAGAUAACACUUUCUCCAUUUCUUCGAGAGGGAGAAAAUGCCAGAAAGUUAUUAGUUUUAUUCCCAGGACUGUGGUAGCUGGACAAGGAUCCAAGGUUAAGGUGAUCCCCAUGACCUGACACUUGCAGAACAAGUGGGCUCCCUGUAUCCUGGCACGAGGAGUUCUAGGGAGAUCUGUAAUCCCCAGUAGUAACCUCAGAGGUUAAUUGGCGUCUGGAAAUGAGUUUAUUAGGUAGGUGGGCUAGAGGGGGUUUAAUUACGUGUUUAGAUCAGUGUUGCUUUAAGCAUUAAUUUUGCCUGGAAAAGGAAGGUGUAAUGUCAGGAGCGACACUUUCACACUGCUUAGAUUGAGCCAGGGGAGACUGGAGAGAGCCCACGGACUAUUGGGGAGGAUGGGAAUGAGCUCUGAGUAAAAGCAUCUCUUUGUUGUUUUGAGCCAAAAUUCCCUGGACUUCGUGUAAGGACCAGUUUCCUGAGAAUGGCACUCAGCAGUUUUUGGACAGUCAGGCUGUCAGAAGGAAUCCCUCUGAAAUACAUGUUGGAUUUCUUUUUUUGGGCCUUAUUUCUCUUUUCUGCUUUGUGUCAUAUUCUCCUCGCGGCUUUCCAGAGCAGAGUUACUCUUCCACUUGUUCCCUUUUGCCUCCUGCUGAGUCAAUUCUUUCUUUUCCAACGUUAUUUGUACUGUAGUCACUCCCAGAAUCUGGGAAAUCAUCCUCAGAAGUCUCCCCAUCUCCUGAGCUUACUGCCAACUCUCCCACUAAAGCUUUGAAUUCUUUGUUAUAAAGAAGAAUAAAAGGCCAGCAAAGUGCACCUCGACACCCAUUCAGGUGCCAUUACCCUGUAAUUCUUUAAAAACUCUGUGUGCAUUUAUAGUCACUGGGAAGUGCUGGACUGGGAAGCCUCUGGACUAAAUUGGUGUUAGCACAUGAAAGAGAAGCAGUCCUGCAUGGGGCAGCAGGCUCUGGGCAGGUUUGGUCACCAGCUCGCUCGGUGGGCUCGGGACAAUCAUUCCCUGCCUGUGCCCCUGCUGGCAGUGCCCAGCUCCAGCUGUGCCCCUUUGGAUGAGGGACACGCCUGUCCCACACCUGUGGAGCUGCAGCAGAGCCUGAGCUUAGCAGGGAAUGCAAACAGGGAUGAGAGGAAUGCCCAGACAGCAGGGCAGGCUUCCCAGACACGCUGUCCUGCGAGCAUGCUGGAACCCUGGGUGCUGCAAGCUGUCUCUGUUCCCAGGCCUCGGCUUCUCUCUGCCAGCCACAAAGGGUUCACCACUUCCAAAUACAGCGGUGAGGUGAACUGGCAGCUUCCCAGUUCCACUGGGAAACGGGGGCAAAUUGCUAAACUCACUUUACAAACUCAACCAAAGCCUGAUUGGAUCCUCCAUCCUGCCUGGAGCUGUGCCACCUCCUGCAAGUGAAAAGCUCCUUGGGUUUCUGAGCCAUCCCAUCCCAUCCCAUCCCAUCCCAUCCCAUCCCAUCCCAUCCCAUCCCAAACCAUCCCAUCCCAUUCCACACCCUCCCACUCUGCCCAUGCUCCAGCCUGCUCCAAUUUGCCAGCAGAGAAAUCAAUUUUCUCCCCUCCUCCCUUGUUUGAGGAGCUGCAGGCACAUCCCUUGGCUUUCCCUCUUCUCUGCAGGCUUUUCCAGAGCCCUUUCCUCCCUUUGUUUGCUCGUUCCCUGCACUCCAUCCCAUCUUUUGCCUCCCUCCCUGGUUUGAUACAGCAUCUCGCUGGUCCUGCCUCACACUCUGAGCAGGGGUAUUAGAUGGAUUCCCCAUAGAGUAUAAAUUGAAUGGAGAGAAGUGGCUGGUUUCCCAGCAAUAAUUUAUCUGAUUAAAAAAAUACUCCCCAAACUCCCCCUCCUCCACCGGUCCUGCGCCCCCUCCAAAAAGCACCACUGGCAUCAGGGUUGGUGUUUGAACUGUGUGAUUCAAAUUGCUGGAAGAGGGAUUUAGAUGGGAAAGUAACUGGCAAAGGAUGGUUCUCGGGGGAUUUUUCCCAGAGUGUCGGGGCUGGAACCCGGGUUGUUGUGUGGAGAAGGCAGAGAGUAAAUAAUUCUGAGUCAAGUACCUGGGUGAUUUGUACCUUUACCCACGUACCAAAUGGCGGCUGCACACGCGCGUGCUCUUGCUCGUGUUUGCCCACCACACGCACUGCACGGGGGAGCCCAGCUCCUGGCACAGCAAGCUGCUCCUGCUGUUCCCUCUCUCCUCUCUUUUCUUCUCUUACCUCAGGCCUGAUUCCAAAUAACAGAAGAAAUCUGCCUCACUAAAUGCAUGUUGCCUUGUUUGUUACUUGCUCGGGCUUCAAUCCUUCCAAACCAUUUUCUUCUCCAACAUUCCUGUUGUAAUUAUGGAAAAUAAUUCCUGUUGUAAUUAGGAUGGAAAAGUCACCCCAAGGCCCCUCUCAGCAGGGGCCUGGGCAGUGGGUUUGGUUGGUGCUUGUUCCUGUGUGGGUGACAGGCAGGUAUUUGCAGGUAUUUACAUCCCAGAGUGCUCCCAGACCGCCGGGAUUUACAACAGGGGCUCCCUGGUGCUGUCAAGGGCAGCACUGCUGCUGCCACCCGAGUGUCUGCAGGCCAUUCCAGGGCCUGGCGUGGCCCCAGCUCCCCGGGCUGCUGGCUGCUGGACAUUCCUCUGCUCACAGCUGCUUUCUGGCCACUGGGUGAAACACGGCCAGGCUGGAGCUUUUCAGCCUCGGAGCACCCUCAAGCCAGUGGCCAGGGCUCAGGUUUCCUGCGUUUUGACAGGAGGGCUGCUCAGAUAAAACCUCUUUCUGCUCCUUCUGGAGGAUUUACACUGCCACAAGUCCUCAUUUUUUCCAGAUGUUUUACCUAAUAAAUCAAGGAGUCUCAUCAGAGGAUUGGGAUCCAAAAGCUGUUACCAUGACUUCAAAGACACAGGCUGGAGUGGAAAGAAGCAGUGCAGACAUUUUAUACUACUCUGUAUGCACUGAUCAUGAAAAUACACUCUGCUCCCAGGAUUUUUUUUCCUGUGGAUAUGAGAACACCAACUAUGAUUAAAUAAAAUGGUGCUGUGCUCCUGCAGCCAACCUUUGCUGAAAAGAAUGGAGCUGCAGGAGCUUCGGGCUGUAGGGCUGGCAGGAACCAGGCUGGGGCUGGUCCUGAGAGGGGUUGAGCUCUGCCAGCCCCUGUCCAAAAUCCAGGACCAUUAACUCAGGGCUGAACUCACUCCAUCUUUUCAGAUCAAUAUUUAACUGCAUAUUUUCUCCAAGUGCUGGUUUAAGCAAUUCCCACAUAAAGGAAUCAGAUGUUCAUCUUCUUCAGAUGUUGGGAGAGAAAAAGAUAAAAAGAGUUACAUGGCUGUAAAAUGUGAUUGUGACUAUCCAGACCAGUUUGUUCCUUGAUCAAGAAUGUAAUUUUUUUUUUUUUUAAUGUAGUGAAGGCUUUCUUUUUACAGUGUCUACAUGGUGUCAUUUUCUUUUGCUGUUCCAUUUCUAAAGAUAACUGUGUUUGGAGAAGCUGUUACGUGUUUCUGUCACUCCAUAGCACAGGGUGCUGCAGAUCAGAAUGAAGAAAAGCAGCUGAAGAAAGGAAAGCUGAUCCUGUGGUGGGUGAGCAGCAGGCCACAGGGUUGGCUUUUGGUUCCCCACUUUCCCAGAGCACUGGCCUGGCAUCAGAGAUGCCCAAGCUCCUCACCCUCUGCCUUGUCUUCCCUUGGAUCCUGUUGGAUUUGGAAUCACAGCAUAGUUUGUAUUGGAAGGGACCUUAAAGCUCAUCCAGUUCUACCCCCUGCCAUGGGUAGGAACCCCUGCCACUGUCCCAGGUUGCUCCAAGCCAACCCAACCUGGCCUUGGACACUUCCAGGGAUGGGCAGCCACAGCUUUGUCUCCCCUCCCUGCUCAGUGCUGCAGGGCAUGGUGCCAGGCAGGACCAGGCUGCUGGGGGCAGGAGGCACAGGGUGGUCUGGUUGUGGGGAGCCCCUUUAGCGUGGACUGAGGUGCCCAGGUCAAGUGCUCAGUUUCAGGAGAGUUUUUGGGCUUCCUCCUUCACAUGGCUGAAGCACAGCCAUGGAGAGGGGAGCCUCUCACAACCUCCUGGGGGUACCUGCAACAGGUGAUGUAGGCAGAGACCUUGGCUUGUGCUGCCUCAGAAUUCUGGGAUGUAAAUAAGUUGUCACUUAACAACAGUGGGAACUGCAACACUUGGAGUUCUGGGAAAAUCCUGUGCACCCCAAGUAGGCACUGUAGUUAUGUAAAACACACUUAAGAUAUUAAUUGACUCCAAGAGAUUGUAUUUUGUGUUUUAUGUAUUUUGUGUUUCCCAGACAGUGGGGAGCAAGAGGGCAUUUGGUUCUGCAAGAUGUUUAUCCAGAUCUGAAAACAUCAUCAUGGAAGUUUAGGAAGAGGUGAUGUCCCACUGCAGCCAGGUGGAAGGGAGAGCCAGGUGUAGAUCUCCUGUGUUCUAAUGACUUCAGAAAAAUUGCUGCUUGUCUUCCCUCCCCCACAAGGCUGAAUCCCAGCACCCCAGAUUGUCGUGACUGCCUGGGAUUGGUGACAUCUCCAGUGAAAUGUGUUGGAGCAUCAAAGCAGAGUGGGAGAAGCACAGCCUGGCUCCGGGAGCCAGAAAUAGGAAUCCCCCAACACAUCUGAUUCCAGCCAUAGGACCCAACACCUCAGCUAACCCUUUCAGGUAACACACAGAAAGGGCCAGGCUGUGCUGCUGUUGGUUCCUGCCAUGGGCAAAGGUGAGGUUUGUGAGGUGUGCUGGGAUCCCCAGGAGCGAUGGGCUGUGUUUUUCAAGCAUCCUCAGCUGUUGGUCUAAGGUUAUUUCUUUGAUUUCCCAAGCCCAGAGGCAAAUGACUGUUUCUGUGUACUAAGCAUCAAUUCUUUUCCUUUUGUUCUUAUCCUUUCUCCUCUCCACAGUUUUCCUCUUGCUUUGAAUUCUCUCAGACCGCUGCCAUCUCACUUCCCCUGGCACAGGAGAAAAUGUGGUGGUGUUUACAGAGCAGAAGCACUGGGACUCAGGAGAUGUGAAAGGUGGCUCUGCUGGCUCUACCUUCAACACCUCUCCAUGGUUCUGACUUCCUGUCAGGAUAACCUGGACUAAAAUCCCUCUGUGCUUCUCCUGUGCAAUCCUAUGGUAUCUAACACAACCCACAACCUCAGACUCUGUCAACCUGGCACUCCAGGAGCUCCACCUUCCUCUCAGCCAUCUCAGGGAACUCAGCUCAGUGUUUGGAAGCUCUGCCUCCAUUUAUGACCUUCCCUGAUUCCAGUGAGGAGCUGGAACUGCUGUUGACCUCAGGAAUGACAGAAGUAUAUGCUGGGGUUGGAGGGUUUCUGGCAUAUGACCUGCUAACCUAGAAUUUGCUUGGCAAAGUCCAGAGGAUGACUUUUAACCUCAGAGCAGUUUGCAAAACCACAUCUGUGACCAAUAAAUGUGAAAAAUAAAUGGAAAGAUAAAUCUAGCCCCUGUUGAAGGAUGAAAGACAGCACAUCUUGCUGGGCACUGGUGCUGGAAUCAGGAUGGAGAUUGGGAAUAAUCGGACAGGCCAUGUGCCAGAUGUUGUCCAUGAAUGGAGCCAAUGCCUCACACAAGGGAGGCAGCACAGCAGGUUAAAGUGAAGGUAUCUCAUAGCUCUAAGUCUUAAACUUAACGAGCCACAUCUUUAUUUGUGCUGCAGCCCCUUCUUAUCCAAAAUUGCCUUUACCAGCUGCCAGAGGAUGCCUGGUAACGGAAAAUUCUCUGGAUAACAAUAAAUUGGUGUAACGAUUGAGUGUCACCUCACAUCCCGCUAAGCAAUAGAGAAAUCACGAUGAGAAAAAUAGGCACGACCAGAGUGGCACUGAACAGUGCAAUCCUAAUUCCAUCACCCUUCUUGUGGGCGACAGAUAACCCAGUGCAAUUUACAGUCGCUCUGAAGCGGCUCCAAGUCUCAGCAGGAGUCGGGAAAGCUCAGUGUAGCCUCGGGACUGAGGAGUCGCAAAGAUCAGGCGAGUUGUUGUUCCAUAACCUUGCCUCUGCACCAAAACUAGGGGACUGGUUUGGAAUGGGAAGCACUCCAAGCAAAACACAAAAUUUUAAUCACCAAAAUAAGGUCCUCUUCUGGCUCCCUCUCUGGAGAAUAGUCUGUCUCUGAUCAUUGUGCACAGACUCCCAAAGAAGGUAAAUUUUGGAUUUAAAUCUCUAUGUCAGCAUGUGAAUGACAGCGUUAAAUCUUGGCUGUAAGGCUGAGAUAUCUCCAAGAGGAGAAAAACACUUUUUCCACUUAAGUGGCUGAGGUAGAGGAGGUAAAUAUAUUGUCUCCCACUAUUAAAGGGCGAGGAAAUCAUUUAUACAUGUGCAUUACACCUUUGCACCUAACAGUGGAGUUAUUUUUUAUAUUCAAGAGUCUAAAAGUUUAGAAAUACCAACAUUAAGGCGGCCUAUGCAACUGUAAUUUGUCCCUUCCAUGCAUUUGCAUUAUGAUACAGUAUUUAAUUCUAAUUAGAUCACACGCUGUUCUUUCAACAGGUUCCUGGCCUCACUCAUUGUACAGAAUAGACCGUGCUCACUAAGUAAUAAUUUUAUUUUCUCCUCGCUGUUCACUAUGUGGCCUGUGCUUUAUUUACAGCAGACUAUUCAAAUAUUGUUCUGAAGACAGAUUUAUUCAUUUCCUCCUGAGCUUUUCCAUGGGACUCAUCACUAUGGUAUCCAAGUGCUUCAGAAACUCUAAUUCAUUUUCUCAACACUGUAGUGAGAACUGGUGUUGCCCUUAUUUUACAGACGAGGAACUUGGGUGUACAGGCAAAAUAGUAAAAAAUAUCUUUUCAUUUCAGAGAUCCAAUUAGAAAUACUCAAUGGCCUGAUUUUGUCAGAAAGUAGAACAUGGCCAGGCAUCUAAUUGAGUCAGUAGUUGUAUAAAUUCUCAGUUAUUGCAGAUAUAUCCGCAAGAGUUCUUCAUUUCUGCAAGUCAGGCUUCAAAAUGUCAGCCCAGGCACCUGGGCAGUGCUGACUGCAAAAUUAGUGGAGCACUGGGCAGGCUCUGUUUAUAGACUGUGCUUUGCAUCCCACAGAUUCCAGAGGCUAAAAAUCCUUUCUGAAAGCAGCAGUCACCUGCCCCAGCCACAGCGCUGUGCUUGCUUGCCCAGCCGUUCCUCACAAGGUGCACAAAACAGUUUGAGUUUUGCAGUAAAUGAGGUGGAAGUUGUUCAGGCACUUGCCUGGGUUCCCUGACCUUAGUUCAGUGUCUGAGCCUGGCAUAUCCUUCUGCACUGGUUGCCUUUAUCCUGGUGUUUGAUAACUGGGGAGUGUGUUACUGUGCAGCCUGAGUACUGUUGCUUUAUGGAAUAUGUACUUCCUUCCCAAGUAGAGAUAACGCCAGUAAUGUAAUCCUGGGUUGACAUCGAUGCAGGCCAUCAGCAAUGUGGAAAUUUCCCUCUGUGAGGGAUGUCAUGGCUGGCACAAGCUCCAGCACUCCAAGGGGGUGAGGUAUAUUCUUAGAGUAUUUCAGGUACCUGCUGACUGUUUUCCAGGUGGUCUUCAUUCCCAUUCUUAAAUCCUCACCUUUCUGCUCUGCCUCCUUCCUCCAGUUUCUGUCAUUCCCAUUACUACAUCACUGUCUCUACUGAAUUCCCUCUUCCCAAAGGCCAUGUUGCAUGCCGCACCCAGACUUGGGGUCCUUUUCCCUUGCCCCACGCCAGCUCUCCAUCUGAUCCCCUUUGCCCAGCAAGCUCUCCCUCAAACCUUGAGCAGAGCACAGGGACAGCUCCUAGUCUUCCCAGGUUGCACAUCCUCCUCCCAGCAACUUCUCCCAUUUCCACUCUGGUUUAAAGUCUUCUCCCAGCGGCCUGGCUUCCAGACUCUUUCUUAUGAGCUUUGCUUUAUCCCUCCCUCCAGGCAGACCUGUUUUUCCUUCUGGCUCAUUCCCUUUCACCACCCUGGAGAACCUGUCUCUCUCCAGAGCCUCUGUGCCUGCCAACGUACCUGUCCCAGACCCAGUUCCUGUCCCCACUGUGUGUUUUUCAAGGAGCUUCCUGCUCUGUGUUUCCCAAGAAGACUGGAAGGACAGGUCCGCUCUUCCUACCUGCAGACAUGGCAUGGUCCAGAGCAGCCAGGAACUGGAGCUGCAGGUCCAGCUCUGAUCCCACAGCCCUGGGCUGUGGAGAGGAUGGAGCUGCUGGGGAGUGGAAGCGCCAGGAAGCCCCUGCCAAAAACCAGCAGGACUUUCAGGAGGGUUUUCAUAGCAGGGUUUGAGGGAACACCUCUGACAAAGUGGCCACUCUCAUUUUCAGACUAGAAAAUCCCUGACAGAAGGAACAGAAGGAGAAAUAUUUAUAAUUUAACCCAAGGUAUGAACUUCAGAUGCCUAAAUUUCAGCACAGUGGUUAGGCUGGCCCUAUUAAACUGCGACUGAGGGCAGGAUUUUACAACGGGAAUUGCUAACCAGCUUUAAUAGGAGUUACACUACAGUCCUGCCUUUUAAUCACCACUUCCAUUUUCAGGAUAAAUUGCAGCUGGUUGCUGGUAAUCCUUGUGGCAUAUCAGAUAGCAGCGUAGCUCGGCAAGGGUAAGCUGGAGAAACCCAAACAUCCUUCUGAGGAGGUAAUUAUUCCAUUGUGAAAAUGCCCCGGGAUAUUUUUAGUGGCCAAACCCCCUGUUUCCUGACAGAAACAUAAAAUAAUGAAGCAAGCUUCACAAGGAGAGAUGCCUCAGACACCUGUAUUAGCUGGUGCUUUGCAGUCACGUCAGCGUUUAAUUUGCUGUGUGCAUCCCCACAUCCCUGUACAGCAAAAUCCACACCUGCGUUUGGGGCACUGUGCACUCUGCCAGCCUCUGCCUCGCAGAAAACCUUCUCCAUAAACAAAUCUGCAAAUCCCGCUGGAUCAAGAAGAAUUUCACGGGAAUAUAGAGCUGCCUGCAACAAGAGGGACACCCUUGCCACACACACCGAGGUUAUCAAGGGAAACUUUCCUUGACAGGAGUCUCACAACCAGCGUUAAAGCCUGUUUUUUGGGGAACAGAUUAUUUAAGUUUCAUUUAAAAAUGUUUUGCAGGGGAUGUACCCAUAUUUCACAUGCUGCAGUGCCCCAGGGGUCAGGCUCUCUCCUGGUUACCUCCAGCCCUGAUCCCAUGUAAUUUAUGUCCUGAAAGACAAUUCAAUUAGUCAAUAGUAAAAUGAACCAGGACACCGUGUGUAUUGUAAAAAUAUAAUUUAGUGGGAAACAAGCUGAGAUGGAAAAAAUAUCAGAGUACACUCCAUAUGAUUAAUGAAGGAGGAAUGUAUAUUUACAGCUUUUAUUGUGUCCUUUCUAAGGAGACUGGAUCUGGCAGUAGGGCUGGAACGGGCUGGUAACGAUGCGGCAUUCUAGUGAUUUGGAUUUGAAUGGAAAAUGCUGUAUAAAACUAAUUACCCCCAGGAGGAUGAAAAUACAUUGCAUUUGCCUUUUA